AUUGAACGCUGGCGGCAGGCCUAACACAUGCAAGUCGAACGGUAACAGGAAACAGCUUGCUGUUUCGCUGACGAGUGGCGGACGGGUGAGUAAUGUCUGGGAAACUGCCUGAUGGAGGGGGAUAACUACUGGAAACGGUAGCUAAUACCGCAUAACGUCGCAAGACCAAAGAGGGGGACCUUCGGGCCUCUUGCCAUCGGAUGUGCCCAGAUGGGAUUAGCUAGUAGGUGGGGUAACGGCUCACCUAGGCGACGAUCCCUAGCUGGUCUGAGAGGAUGACCAGCCACACUGGAACUGAGACACGGUCCAGACUCCUACGGGAGGCAGCAGUGGGGAAGAUUGCACAAUGGGCGCAAGCCUGAUGCAGCCAUGCCGCGUGUAUGAAGAAGGCAUUCGGGUUGUAAAGUACUUUCAGCGGGGAGGAAGGGAGUAAAGUUAAUACCUUUGCUCAUUGACGUUACCCGCAGAAGAAGCACCGGCUAACUCCGUGCCAGCCGCCGCCGUAA
rnacentral:rRNA from 1 species